rnacentral:lncRNA from 1 species
AAAACGGACACAAUCCGACCUUAGAUUCAAGCCAAAUAGCUCAUUCACCAUCGAUCAAGCUCAACAAUUCACCAUUGAAUCUAAGAACAGAGGAAAGGGAGGGAGACUUGCUGGUCAAACGCGCAAUAACGAGCCUAACAAUUGACCCACAACACUCCCAAGCUCAAAAUCACAAAAUACUUCGGGAAAAUAAGGCUUAAAAAUAGAUAUAACCAGUGGCGAUGACUGCUAAAAUGGCGCAUUUGCCGCUAGAGCGGCUAGGCUCUCGCUAGAGGUCUCUGCUAAAACGGUGCCAGGCCCAUUAAAGUGGCAAGAGUCCUUGUUGGCCAGCUCCACUAAAGCAGUUCCCUGGCUGCUUAAGCGGUGCCAGGUCCGCUUAUGCGGCUACAC